AACGAACGCUGGCGGCGUGGAUAAGACAUGCAAGUCGAACGAGAGAAUUGCUAGCUUGCUAAUAAUUCUCUAGUGGCGCACGGGUGAGUAACACGUGAGUAACCUGCCCCCGAGAGCGGGAUAGCCCUGGGAAACUGGGAUUAAUACCGCAUAGUAUCGAAAGAUUAAAGCAGCAAUGCGCUUGGGGAUGGGCUCGCGGCCUAUUAGUUAGUUGGUGAGGUAACGGCUCACCAAGGCGAUGACGGGUAGCCGGUCUGAGAGGAUGUCCGGCCACACUGGAACUGAGACACGGUCCAGACACCUACGGGUGGCAGCAGUCGAGAAUCAUUCACAAUGGGGGAAACCCUGAUGGUGCGACGCCGCGUGGGGGAAUGAAGGUCUUCGGAUUGUAAACCCCUGUCAUGUGGGAGCAAAUUAAAAAGAUAGUACCACAAGAGGAAGAGACGGCUAACUCUGUGCCAGCCGCCGCAGUAA
rnacentral:rRNA from 1 species